GACAGAGGGUGCAAGCGUUGUUCGGAAUUACUGGGCGUCAAGCGCGUGUAGGCGGCUAUGUACGUCGGGCGUGAAAUCCCACGGCUCAACCGUGGAAGUGCACCCGAAACUGCGUAGCUAGAGUCCUGGAGAGGAAGGUGGAAUGCUUGGUGUAGAGGUGAAAUUCGUAGAUAUCAAGCGGAACACCGGUGGCGAAGGCGGCCUUCUGGACAGUGACUGACGCUGAGACGCGAAAGCGUGGGGAGCAAACAGG
rnacentral:rRNA from 1 species